UACGUAGGGGGCUAGCGUUGUCCGGAAUCAUUGGGCGUAAAGCGCGUGUAGGCGGCCCGGUAAGUCCGCUGUGAAAGUCGGGGGCUCAACCCUCGGAUGCCGGUGGAUACUGUCGGGCUCGAGUACGGAAGAGGCGAGUGGAAUUCCUGGUGUAGCGGUGAAAUGCGCAGAUAUCGGGGAAGAACACCCGUGGCGAAGGCGGCUCUCUGGGACGGUACUGACGCUGAGACGCGAAAGCGUGGGGAGCGAACAGG
rnacentral:rRNA from 1 species